rnacentral:rRNA from 1 species
GAUGAACGCUGGCGGCGUGCCUAAUACAUGCAAGUCGAGCGAACGGACGAGAAGCUUGCUUCUCUGAUGUUAGCGGCGGACGGGUGAGUAACACGUGUAUAACCUACCUAUAAGACUGGGAUAACUUCGGGAAACCGGAGCUAAUACCGGAUAAUAUUUUGAACCGCAUGGUUCAAAAGUGAAAGACGGUCUUGCUGUCACUUAUAGAUGGAUCUGCGCUGCAUUAGCUAGUUGGUAAGGUAACGGCUUACCAAGGCAACGAUGCAUAGCCGACCUGAGAGAGGGAUCGGCCACACUGGAGCUGAGACACGGUCCAGACUCCUACGGGAGGCAGCAGUAGGGAAUCUUCCGCAAUGGGCGAAAACCUGACGGAGCAACGCCACGUGAGUGAUGAAGGUCUUCGGAUCGUAAAACUCUGUUAUUAGGGAAGAACAUAUGUGUAAGUAACUGUGCACAUCUUGACGGUACCUAAUCAGAAAGCCACGGCUAACUACGUG